rnacentral:rRNA from 1 species
CCUACGGGAGGCAGCAGUAGGGAAUCUUCCACAAUGGGCGAAAGCCUGAUGGAGCAACGCCGCGUGAGUGAUGAAGGCCUUCGGGUUGUAAAACUCUGUCAUUCGGGACGAACCGGAGUCUGAGGAAAUGCAGACUCUCUGACGGUACCGGAGGAGGAAGCCCCGGCUAACUACGUGCCAGCAGCCGCGGUAAUACGUAGGGGGCAAGCGUUGUCCGGAUUCACUGGGCGUAAAGCGCGCGCAGGCGGUGAUGUAAGUCUGAGGUGAAAACCCGAAGCUCAACUUCGGGACUGCCUUGGAUACUGCGUCACUUGAGGAUAGGAGAGGCAAGGGGAAUUCCACGUGUAGCGGUGAAAUGCGUAGAGAUGUGGAGGAACACCUGUGGCGAAGGCGCCUUGCUGGCCUAUUCUGACGCUGAGGCGCGAAAGCGUGGGGAGCAAACAGGAUUAGAUACCCUGGUAGUCCACGCUGUAAACGAUGAGUGCUAGGUGUAGGUGGGCUCAUACCCAUCUGUGCCGAAGCUAACGCAUUAAGCACUCCGCCUGGGGAGUACGGUCGCAAGACUGAAACUUAAAUGAAAUUGACGG